GAUGAACGCUGGCGGCGUGCCUAACACAUGCAAGUCGAACGGAGUUAUUUGAAAGCUUGCUUUUGGAUAACUGAGUGGCGGACGGGUGAGUAACGCGUGAGUAACCUGCCUUAAAGAGGGGGAUAACGUCUGGAAACGGACGCUAAUACCGCAUAUGCUAACAGUAUCGCAUGAUACAGUUAGGAAAGGAGCAAUCCGCUAAUAGAUGGGCUUGCGUCUGAUUAGCUAGUUGGUGGGGUAACGGCCUACCAAGGCGACGAUCAGUAGCCGGACUGAGAGGUUGAACGGCCACAUUGGGACUGAGACACGGCCCAG
rnacentral:rRNA from 1 species